GAGGAAUGUAUAGCAAUAGCUACUUGCAUCAUUGUAAAAAUGAUGCAGGAUCGACUAUGUCGAAUAAAAUUCUAGGUAGAAUUAUGAUAAUGACAUUGUCUGCCUAUGUGUCUUGACCAAAUUACGUGCCAGCAGUCGCGGUAAUACGUAGAAGACUAGUGUUAUUCAUGUUUAAUCGGUUUAAAGGGUACCUAGACGGUAAAUCAAGCCUAAAAUUAAAUGAAGGGACUAAUUUACUAGAGUUACUUAUGAGGGGGUAUUAAAGUACUGCUGGUGUAGAGAUGAAAUUCUGUCAUACCUCUUUUCAAUAGAAAAACAAUGGCACAGGUAUAGGCGAAAGCAUCCCCUUAUGUGAUAACUGACGUUGAGGGACGAAGGCUUUGUGUAGCGAACAGGAUUAGAUACCCCAGUAGUCAAAGCAGAAAAUGAUGAAUGUCAUAGAUUAGAUAAAUAAGUUUAUUCUAUAAAUGAAAGUGUAAGCAUUCCACCUCAAGAGUAAUUUGGCAACAUUGGAACUGAAAUCAUUAGACCGUUUCUGAAACCAGUAGUGAAGUAUGUUGUUUAAUUUGAUGAUCCGCAAAAAACCUUACCACAAUUUGAAUAUUUAUAUUUUUUAUUGUUUUCUUUUUAAUUUUCUUCUGAUUUGAUUUUUCUAAACAGAAAAAGAAAAAAAGAAAAAGAGGCGAUAUGAUAUAUUUACAAGCGUUGCACGGCUGUCUUCAGUUAAUGUCGCGAGACUUUGGUUAGUUCCAUUAAAUUAACGUAAACCCUUAGCUUUAUUUUUAUAUAGAGUAGUUCCCCGCUAUAUUGGAUAUGA
rnacentral:rRNA from 1 species